rnacentral:rRNA from 1 species
CCUCUAAGCCUAAGUAUAUUCUUCUGAUCGAUAGCGAACAAGUACCGUGAGGGAAAGGUGAAAAGAACCCCUGUAGGGGAGUGAAAUAGAACAUGAAACCCUAUGCUGACAACCAGUGGGAGGCAUUUAAAUGCUGACCGCGUGCCUGUUGAAGAAUGAGCCGGCGACUUAGAAAACGUGGCAAGGUUAAGGAAAGAUAUCCGGAGCCGGAGCGAAAGCGAGUCUGAAUAGGGCGAUUAAGUCAUUUUUUCUAGACCCGAACCCGGGUGAUCUAACCAUGACCAGGAUGAAACUUGGGUGACACCAAGUGAAGGUCCGAACCGACCGAUGUUGAAAAAUCGGCGGAUGAGUUGUGGUUAGCGGUGAAAUACCAGUCGAACUCGGAGCUAGCUGGUUCUCCCCGAAAUGCGUUGAGGCGCAGCGGUUCAUAAGGCUGUCUAGGGGUAAAGCACUGUUUCGGUGCGGGCUGCGAAAGCGGUACCAAAUCGUGGCAAACUCUGAAUACUAGAUAUGCUAUUUAUGGGCCAGUGAGACAGUGGGGGAUAAGCUUCAUUGUCGAGAGGGAAACAGCCCAGAUCACUAGCUAAGGCCCCAAAAUGAUCGUUAAGUGACAAAGGAGGUGAGAAUGCUGAAACAACCAGGAGGUUUGCUUAGAAGCAGCCACCCUUUAAAGAGUGCGUAAUAGCUCACUGGUGGAGCGUUCUUGCGCCGAAAAUGUCCGGGACUAAAUGAUCUGCCGAAGCUGUGGGAUAUUUCUAAAAUAUCGGUAGGGGAGCGUUCUGCUGUAGGGUGAAGCAAUGAUGUAAGUCAUUGUGGACGAAGCGGAAGUGAGAAUGUCGGCUUGAGUAACGCAAACAUUGGUGAGAAUCCAAUGCCCCGAAAACCUAAGGAUUCCUCCACUAGGUUCGUCCAUGGAGGGUGAGUCAGGACCUAAGGCAAGGCCGAAAGGCGUAGUCGAUGGCAAACAGGUUAAUAUUCCUGUACUAUUUGCUGUUUGGUACCGAGGGACGGAGCAGGCAGAGAUUGGCCGAGAUUGGAUUUCGGUGGAAACUUUCGACACGGUGAGAGGUAGAAGAAAAACUAACCUUGAGUGAAGAAGUGAUACGUCUCUAUCUUUGGAUAGAGAUCAGUUGACUGUCAUACUCCCAAGAAAAGCUCGAACUACUGUAAAACAUCAAAUACCUGUACCGUAAACCGACACAGGUGGGUUAGUAGAGUAUACUAAGGGGCGCGAGAUAACUCUCUCUAAGGAACUCGGCAAAAUGACCCCGUAACUUCGGGAGAAGGGGUGCCAAGUAACUUAAAUUGCUUGGUCGCAGUGACCAGGCCCUGGCGACUGUUUAUCAAAAACACAGGUCUCCGCAAAGUCGUAAGACAACAUAUGGGGGCUGACGCCUGCCCAGUGCCGGAAGGUUAAAGAAGUUGGUUAUUCUUUGAAGAAGCUGACGACUGAAGCCCCGGUGAACGGCGGCCGUAACAAUAACGGUCCUAAGGUAGCGAAAUUCCUUGUCGGGUAAGUUCCGACCUGCACGAAUGGCGUAAUGAUGGCCAGGCUGUCUCCACCCGAGACUCAGUGAAAUUGAACUCGCUGUGAAGAUGCAGUGUACCCGCGGCAAGACGGAAAGACCCCGUGAACCUUUACUAUAGCUUGACA